CGGAGGGUGCGAGCGUUAUCCGGAUUCACUGGGUUUAAAGGGUGCGUAGGUGGGAAUGUAAGUCAGUGGUGAAAUCUCCGUGCUUAACACGGAAACUGCCAUUGAUACUAUGUUUCUUGAAUUUUCUGGAGGUUAGCGGAAUAUGUCAUGUAGCGGUGAAAUGCUUAGAUAUGACAUAGAACACCGAUUGCGAAGGCAGCUAACUACAGGGAUAUUGACACUGAGGCACGAAAGCGUGGGAUCAAACAGGAUU
rnacentral:rRNA from 1 species